rnacentral:sRNA from 1 species
AUAUUGAAAAACACCAGAUGAUCCACUUCGAAGGAACAUAAACAAGCCAAGCGGAUGCAGGUUAAUAAAACCCGCAAAAGCCCCAGACAGGAACACUUAAAAUGCCCCAGAAACAAAGCAUACCGUGACAAAUUCUCACCCAACACAUAAGUACAUGCACCAGAAUGUUCCCAGGCAU